rnacentral:rRNA from 1 species
AUUGAACGCUGGCGGCAGGCCUAACACAUGCAAGUCGAGCGGAUGACGGGAGCUUGCUCCUUGAUUCAGCGGCGGACGGGUGAGUAAUGCCUAGGAAUCUGCCUGGUAGUGGGGGACAACGUUUCGAAAGGAACGCUAAUACCGCAUACGUCUUACGGGAGAAAGCAGGGGACCUUCGGGCCUUGCGCUAUCAGAUGAGCCUAGGUCGGAUUAGCUAGUAGGUGAGGUAAUGGCUCACCUAGGCGACGAUCAGUAACUGGUCUGAGAGGAUGAUCAGUGAGACUGGAACUGAGACACGGUCCAGACUCCUACGGGAGGCAGCAGUGGGGAAUAUUGGAAAAUGGGCGAAAGCCUGAUCCAGCCAUGCCGCGUGUGUGAAGAAGGUCUUCGGAUUGUAAAGCACUUUAAGUUGGGAGGAAGGGCAGUAAGUUAAUACCUUGCUGUUUUGACGUUACCGACAGAAUAAGCACCGGCUAACUCUGUGCCAGCCGCCGCGGUAA